UAAAACCAGCACCUCGAGUGGUCAGGAGGUUUAUUGGGCCUAAAGCAUCCGUAGCCGGUUGCAUAAGUUUUCGGUUAAAUCUAUGCGCUUAACGUAUAGGCCGCCGAAAAUACUGUGCAGCUAGGGAGUGGGAGAGGUACACGGUACUCGAUAGGAAGGGGUAAAAUCCUUUGAUCUAUUGAUGACCACCUGUGGCGAAGGCGGUGUACCAGAACACGUUCGACGGUGAGGGAUGAAAGCUGGGGGAGCAAACCGGAUUAGAUACCCGGGUAGUCCCAGCUGUAAACGAUGCAGACUCGGUGAUGCAUUGGCUUGUGGCCAAUGCAGUGCCGCAGGGAAGCCGUUAAGUCUGCCGCCUGGGAAGUACGUACGCAAGUAUGAAACUCAAAGGAAUUGACGG
rnacentral:rRNA from 1 species